ACACAUGCAAGUCGAGGGGCAGCGGGAUUGAAGCUUGCUUCAAUUGCCGGCGACCGGCGCACGGGUGAGUAACGCGUAUCCAACCUUCCGCUUACUCGGGGAUAGCCUUUCGAAAGAAAGAUUAAUACCCGAUGGUAUCUUAAGCACGCAUGAGAUUAAGAUUAAAGAUUUAUCGGUAAGCGAUGGGGAUGCGUUCCAUUAGGCAGUUGGCGGGGUAACGGCCCACCAAACCUACGAUGGAUAGGGGUUCUGAGAGGAAGGUCCCCCACAUUGGAACUGAGACACGGUCCAAACUCCUACGGGAGGCAGCAGUGAGGAAUAUUGGUCAAUGGGCGAGAGCCUGAACCAGCCAAGUAGCGUGAAGGAUGACGGCCCUACGGGUUGUAAACUUCUUUUGUGCGGGAAUAAAGGAACCUACGUGUAGGUUUUUGCAUGUACCGUAACGAAUAAGCAUCGGCUAACUCCGUGCCAGCAGCCGCGGUAAUACGGAGGAUGCGAGCGUUAUCCGGAUUUAUUGGGUUUAAAGGGAGCGUAGACGGGUUUUUAAGUCAGCUGUGAAAGUUUGGGGCUCAACCUUAAAAUUGCAGUUGAAACUGGAGACCUUGAGUACGGUUGAGGCAGGCGGAAUUCGUGGUGUAGCGGUGAAAUGCUUAGAUAUCACGAAGAACCCCGAUUGCGAAGGCAGCCUGCUAAGCCGCCACUGACGUUGAGGCUCGAAAGUGCGGGUAUCAAACAGGAUUAGAUACCCUGGUAGUCCGCACGGUAAACGAUGGAUACUCGCUGUUGGCGAUAGACUGUCAGCGGCCAAGCGAAAGCGUUAAGUAUCCCACCUGGGGAGUACGCCGGCA
rnacentral:rRNA from 1 species